UACAGAGGUCUCGAGCGUUAGGCGGAAUCACUGGGCUUAAAGCGUGUGUAGGCAGAUCGUUAAGUACCUUGUGAAAUCCCACGGCUUAACCGUGGAACUGCUUGGUAUACUGGCGGUCUUGAGCCAGCUAGGGGCUACCGGAACAAAUGGUGGAGCGGUGAAAUGCGUAGAUAUCAUUUGGAACGCCAAUGGUGAAAACAGGUAGCUGGGGCUGUGCUGACGCUGAGACACGAAAGCCAGGGGAGCAAACGGG
rnacentral:rRNA from 1 species